rnacentral:sRNA from 1 species
ACCGACGACAUCUUUG